rnacentral:rRNA from 1 species
AUUGAACGCUGGCGGCAGGCCUAACACAUGCAAGUCGAACGGUAACAGGAAGAAGCUUGCUUCUUUGCUGACGAGUGGCGGACGGGUGAGUAAUGUCUGGGAAACUGCCUGAUGGAGGGGGAUAACUACUGGAAACGGUAGCUAAUACCGCAUAACGUCGCAAGACCAAAGAGGGGGACCUUCGGGCCUCUUGCCAUCGGAUGUGCACAGAUGGGAUUAGCUAGUUGGUGGGGUAACGGCUCACCAAGGCGACGAUCCCUAUCUGUUCUGAGGGGAUGACCCGCCACACUGGAACGUAGACACGGUCCAGACUCCUACGGGAGGCAGCAGUGGGGAAUAUGGACCACUGGGCGCAAGCCUGAUGCAGCCAUGCCGCGUGUAUGAAGAAGGCCUUCGGGUUGUAAAGUACUGUCAGCGGGGAGGAAGUGAGUAAAGUUAAUACCUUUGCUCAUUGACGUUACCCGCAGAAGAAGCACCGGCUAACUCCGUGCCAGCCGCCGCGGUAA